rnacentral:tRNA from 3 species
AGGAAUUUAGGCUAAUAAAGACCAAGGGCCUUCAAAGCCCUAAGUAAGUAUCUAUACUUAAUUCCUG